GCCUCUGUAGCUCAGUUGGUUAGAGCGCUGCACCGGAAUCGCAGGGCCGUAGGUUCAGUUCCUACCAGAGGAC
rnacentral:tRNA from 1 species